rfam:Camelus ferus unplaced genomic scaffold scaffold692, whole genome shotgun sequence.
GGGGGUACAGCUCAGUGGUAAAGCAUGUGCUCAGCAUGCAUGGGGUCUUGGGUUCAAUACCCAGUACUUCCA